rnacentral:rRNA from 1 species
UAGGGAAUCUUCGGCAAUGGACGGACGUCUGACCGAGCAACGCCGCGUGAGUGAAGAAGGUUUUCGGAUCGUAAAGCUCUGUUGUUAGAGAAGAACGUUGGUAGGAGUGGAAAAUCUACCAAGUGACGGUAACUAACCAGAAAGGGACGGCUAACUACGUGCCAGCAGCCGCGGUAAUACGUAGGUCCCGAGCGUUGUCCGGAUUUAUUGGGCGUAAAGCGAGCGCAGGCGGUUCUUUAAGUCUGAAGUUAAAGGCAGGGGCUUAACCAAUGGACGGCUUGGGAACUGGGGGAGCUGGAGGGGGGGAGAGGGAGGUGGAAUUCCUAGGGUAGGGUUGAAAUGCUUAGUUAAUGGGAGGAACACCGGUGGGGAAGGCGGUCUCCUGUCCUUUACCGGACGUUGAGGUGGGAAGGCGUGGGGAGAAAAAAG